AAAAAUGGCUCCUCUUCCUUCCUAGAGUGUGACCAUCUCUACCUGUGCGCCCACACGGCUGGCCUGAACAUGAGGCAGUGACUCCUGGCUGGAAGGGACCCCGAGGACAGCAAAUACCGAGAGGAGGCUCACCGCAAAGAAAGGGGAAGUACAAACUGUCCAAAUGGCUAGGAGGGGAGGACGUUGGUUCUGACACAGCCUGGGACCUACUCCUGACCCAGAUGUGUGCCUCGGAGGAUGGGUUUCAGGAAGCCUGGCUGAGGGUGAGCACAGGAGGCCGAGGCAGCUGGCUUGCUUGAGCCCAGGAGUUAGAGACCAGCUUGGGGCAACGUGGCAAGACCCCGUCUCUACAAAAAAAUUCAAAAAUUAGUCAGGCAUGGUGAUGCAUCUUUGCAAUCCCAGCUACUCAGGAGACUGAGGCAGGAGGGUCACCUGAGCCCAGGGAGGCCGAGGCUGCAAUGAGUUCUGAUCAUGCCAUUGCACUCCAGCCUGGGUGAGUUAGUGAAACCCUGUCUCAAAAAACAAAAAACAAAACCAAAAAAAACGCUGGAACCAGAG
rnacentral:lncRNA from 1 species